CAUGAAAGGAUCAGGCACCAAGGAAAUAACACUACCCCAAAGUUUGAAGAGCUUCAAGUUAUUAUUAUUUGCAAUUACCACACAAGGAGAUACAGUUCUAGAGGUGGUAUAUUAAACUCAAAGAUCAGGACAUCACAGAGCGAGAAGAAAUUGUGCCAUCACCUGGUUAUGGUUCAGCUACAACACUGGCACGGAAAAAGCAUAAUCAGGCAGGAGGCCCAGCGCAGGCAACCUGCAGUCUGGCCGUCUGCUCACUCAGCUGGGACUCCAACAGAGUGAAUGGAAGGAAUGCAUAGCACAGCCCCACUCACCAAUUGGCGCAUGAGUACACAGACUCUGCAGGGGGAGAGGAUUAUUGCUGGAGUGACUUUAUACAACCAAUACCUGUGUAUGGAGUUAUAAUCUGUAACUGCAAAUAACUGAUGCAUUAAAGCAGAUUGUACUUUAAUUAUAAAUAUUCUACUC